UACAGAGGGGGCAAGCGUUGUUCGGAAUUACUGGGCGUAAAGGGCGCGUAGGCGGAUAUUUAAGUCGGGGGUGAAAGCCCAGGGCUCAACCCUGGAAUUGCCUUCGAUACUGGAUAUCUUGAGUUCGGGAGAGGUGAGUGGAAUGCCGAGUGUAGAGGUGAAAUUCGUAGAUAUUCGGCGGAACACCAGUGGCGAAGGCGACUCACUGGCCCGAUACUGACGCUGAGGCGCGAAAGCGUGGGGAGCAAACAGG
rnacentral:rRNA from 1 species